AUGGCCGCCUCCGCUGCCGCUUCUUCUCGCCGUGGCUUCCUUCGCCUGGUCGUCGCGGCCGCCGUCCUCGCGGCAUUCGGGCUCGGUGCUGCCCGUGCUGCGGGGAGCUCGGUUGAUCGCGCGCCGCUGAGCGUGGCGUCCCUGUUCCCCGGCCCGGCUUGCCCCACGACAGCAGAGCACGAACCCAGCGCUGCGGCGUCAGCGAGGAUGAAGAUCGUCCACCAGCACGGCCCAUGCUCCCCUCUGGCUGAUGCGCACGGGAAGCUGCCGGCUCACGACGAGAUCCUCGCCGCCGACCAGAACCGCGUCGAUUCGAUCCAGCGCCGGGUGUCCGCGACCACCGGCCGGGGCAAACUGACGAAGCGCGCUGCGCCUGUCCAGCCCGGGACAAAGAAGAGCCCCGGGCACUCGGCGUCCUCCUCCACCCCGUCGCUCCCGGCGACGCCAGGCCGCGCGCUGAGCACGGGCAACUACGUGGUGACCGUCGGGCUCGGCACGCCGGCGUCCAAGUACACGGUGGUGUUCGACACCGGCAGCGACACGACGUGGGUGCAGUGCCGCCCCUGCGUGGUCAAGUGCUACAAGCAGAAGGAGCCGCUCUUCGACCCGGCCAAGUCGUCCACCUACGCCAAUGUGUCCUGCUCCGACCCCGCCUGCGACGACCUCGACAGCAACGGCUGCACCGGCGGCCACUGCCUCUACGCCGUCCAGUACGGCGACGGCUCCUACACCGUUGGCUUCUUCGCCCAGGACACCCUCACCAUCGCCCACGACGCCAUCAAGGGGUUCCGGUUCGGGUGCGGGGAGAAGAACAGCGGGCUGUUCGGGAAGACGGCGGGGCUGAUGGGGCUCGGCCGCGGGAAGACGUCGCUCACGGUGCAGGCGUACGACAAGUACGGCGGCGCGUUCGCCUACUGCCUCCCGGCGUCGUUGACGGGGACAGGGUACCUGGACUUCGGCCCGGGGUCGGCGGGCAACAACGCGAGGCUGACGCCGAUGCUGACCGACAAGGGGCAGACGUUCUACUACGUGGGCUUGACGGGCAUCCGCGUGGGCGGGCAGCAGGUGCCCGUCGCGGAGUCGGUGUUCUCCACGGCCGGGACGCUGGUGGACUCCGGCACGGUGAUCACGCGGCUCCCGGCGACCGCCUACCUCGCGCUGUCCAAGGCGUUCGCCAAGGCCAUGUCGGCGAGCGGGUACAAGACGGCGCCGGCGUACUCGAUCCUGGACACCUGCUACGACUUCACGGGGCUGAGCGAUGUGUCGCUGCCGACGGUGUCGCUGGUGUUCCAGGGCGGCACGUGCCUCGACGUGGACGUGUCCGGGAUCGUGUACGCCAUCAGCCAGGCGCAGGUGUGCCUGGCGUUCGCGUCCAACGGCGACGACGAGAGCGUCGCCAUCAUCGGGAACACGCAGCAGAAGACCUACGGCGUGCUCUACGACCUUGGCAAGAAGACCGUCGGCUUCGCCCCCGGAUCCUGCUGA
rnacentral:rRNA from 1 species